rnacentral:rRNA from 1 species
CAAGUCGAACGCGACUUAGGCUUCGGUCUAAGUUGAGUGGCGAACGGGUGAGUAACACGUGGGUGACCUACCUUCGAGUGGGGGAUAACGUCCCGAAAGGGACGCUAAUACCGCAUAACAUCCUGCCUUUGAACAGGUGGAGAUCAAAGCCGGGGAUCGCAAGACCUGGCGCUUGAUGAGGGGCCCGCGUCUGAUUAGCUAGUUGGUGGGGUAACGGCUCACCAAGGCGACGAUCAGUAUCCGGCCUGAGAGGGCGGACGGACACACUGGGACUGAGACACGGCCCAGACUCCUACGGGAGGCAGCAGUGGGGAAUUGUUCGCAAUGGGCGCAAGCCUGACGACGCAACGCCGCGUGGAGGAUGAAGGUCUUCGGAUUGUAAACUCCUGUUGCUCGGGACGAAAAGCUCCGACCUAAUACGUCGGAGUCUGACGGUACCGAGUGAGGAAGCCCCGGCUAACUCUGUGCCAGCAGCCGCGGUAAUACAGAGGGGGCGAGCGUUGUUCGGAAUUACUGGGCGUAAAGGGCGCGUAGGCGGCCUGCUAAGUCGAACGUGAAAUCCCUGGGCUCAACCCAGGAACUGCGUCCGAUACUGGUUGGCUUGAAUCCGGGAGAGGGAUGUGGAAUUCCAGGUGUAGCGGUGAAAUGCGUAGAUAUCUGGAGGAACACCGGUGGCGAAGGCGACAUCCUGGACCGGUAUUGACGCUGAGGCGCGAAAGCCAGGGGAGCAAACGGGAUUAGAUACCCCGGUAGUCCUGGCCCUAAACGAUGAAUGCUUGGUGUGGUGGGUAUCGAUCCCUACCGUGCCGAAGCUAACGCAUUAAGCAUUCCGCCUGGGGAGUACGGUCGCAAGGCUGAACUCAAAGGAAUUGACGGGGGGUGCGACAAGCGGUGGA